rnacentral:rRNA from 1 species
GAUGUGGGAAGGCUCAGACAGCCAGGAUGUUGGCUUAGAAGCAGCCAUCAUUUAAAGAAAGCGUAAUAGCUCACUGGUCGAGUCGGCCUGCGCGGAAGAUGUAACGGGGCUAAACCAUGCACCGAAGCUGCGGCAGCGACGCUUAUGCGUUGUUGGGUAGGGGAGCGUUCUGUAAGCCUGUGAAGGUGUGCUGUGAGGCAUGCUGGAGGUAUCAGAAGUGCGAAUGCUGACAUAAGUAACGAUAAAGCGGGUGAAAAGCCCGCUCGCCGGAAGACCAAGGGUUCCUGUCCAACGUUAAUCGGGGCAGGGUGAGUCGACCCCUAAGGCGAGGCCGAAAGGCGUAGUCGAUGGGAAACAGGUUAAUAUUCCUGUACUUGGUGUUACUGCGAAGGGGGGACGGAGAAGGCUAUGUUGGCCGGGCGACGGUUGUCCCGGUUUAAGCGUGUAGGUGUGUGUUCCAGGUAAAUCCGGUUCACUUUAACACUGAGGCGUGAUGACGAGGCACUACGGUGCUGAAGUAACAAAUGCCCUGCUUCCAGGAAAAGCCUCUAAGCAUCAGGUGACAUCAAAUCGUACCCCAAACCGACACAGGUGGUCAGGUAGAGAAUACCAAGGCGCUUGAGAGAACUCGGGUGAAGGAACUAGGCAAAAUGGUGCCGUAACUUCGGGAGAAGGCACGCUGAUAUGUAGGUGAAGUGAUUUACUCAUGGAGCUGAAAUCAGUCGAAGAUACCAGCUGGCUGCAACUGUUUAUUAAAAACACAGCACUGUGCAAACACGAAAGUGGACGUAUACGGUGUGACGCCUGCCCGGUGCCGGAAGGUUAAUUGAUGGGGUUAUCCGUAAGGAGAAGCUCUUGAUCGAAGCCCCGGUAAACGGCGGCCGUAACUAUAACGGUCCUAAGGUAGCGAAAUUCCUUGUCGGGUAAGUUCCGACCUGCACGAAUGGCGUAAUGAUGGCCAGGCUGUCUCCACCCGAGACUCAGUGAAAUUGAACUCGCUGUGAAGAUGCAGUGUACCCGCGGCAAGACGGAAAGACCCCGUGAACCUUUACUAUAGCUUGACACUGAACACUGGUCCUUGAUGUGUAGGAUAGGUGGGAGGCUUUGAAGUGUGGACGCCAGUCUGCAUGGAGCCGCCCUUGAAAUACCACCCUUUAAUGGCUGGUGUUCUAACGUAGGCCCGUUACCCGGGUUGCGGACAGUGUCUGGUGGGUAGUUUGACUGGGGCGGUCUCCUCCUAAAGAGUAACGGAGGAGCACGAAGGUUAGCUAAUCCUGGUCGGACAUCAGGAGGUUAGUGCAAAGGCAUAAGCUAGCUUGACUGCGAGCGUGACGGCGCGAGCAGGUGCGAAAGCAGGUCUUAGUGAUCCGGUGGUUCUGAAUGGAAGGGCCAUCGCUCAACGGAUAAAAGGUACUCCGGGGAUAACAGGCUGAUACCGCCCAAGAGUUCAUAUCGACGGCGGUGUUUGGCACCUCGAUGUCGGCUCAUCACAUCCUGGGGCUGAAGUAGGUCCCAAGGGUAUGGCUGUUCGCCAUUUAAAGUGGUACGCGAGCUGGGUUUAGAACGUCGUGAGACAGUUCGGUCCCUAUCUGCCGUGGGCGCUGGAGAAUUGAGGGGGGCUGCUCCUAGUACGAGAGGACCGGAGUGGACGCAUCACUGGUGUUCGGGUUGUCAUGCCAAUGGCACUGCCCGGUAGCUAAAUGCGGAAGAGAUAAGUGCUGAAAGCAUCUAAGCACGAAACUUGCC